UCAGCACACCUACAUGACUGACCACCCAAGCUAUGCUUGGUUCUCAGGCUCACAUGAUACUAUUACCAAUACUGAAGUUAAUUGAGUUUCUAUUACUAAUACAUAAGUUGAGUUCGAUCUAUAACCAAAUUACUAACCAAGAAGGUUAAGGUUUGGGAUUUACAGACUAAACUUUGGUUCCGAUCGAUAGUCUGGAGAAUACCCAGCUCACUGAAGUUGUAAUGCAAGUGUCACCAUUCAAUCCGCUCUGCCUACGGUCGGAGCCCAUUGUGCAGAACAAUGUGAUUCAUGAGGAAGCUUGACUGAAAUGUAAGCACACAGCACCAUCCAAUUAAUCCUCUGCAGGGAAGAAUUGUUGUGACAAGUGUUCGUGCAGGAAAUAGCAAGACCGAUAUCUUUCCAAUUACUAUAGGACUACAUCAAGGUUUAGCCUUGAGCCCAUACUUUUUUUUACUUGGUGAUAGAUGAGGUCACUGAGAACAUACGAGGAGAUAUUCCUUGGUCUCCUUGGUGUAUGGCCGGCCUGCUUCUCCGCGCCCGAGGGCGUGGCGAGGAGGACGCCCGCACCAGGAUCCUAGCUGAACUGGAGUCCGCCAUCCACGGGACGGCUACGUCGCCUUUGUCCCUGAGCUCCGUAGGGUGACUUUGGCUGCCCGAGUUCCAGUCGGACGUGGAUGCAGCAGGAGUCACACCAGACAGGCCUGGAGACGAACAAUGUAACAACCCAGUCUGCAAAUAACAUAAACAUCGUUUGUAAGCAUUCAUGCAGGCAUAUCGUACCAUGUUUAAUUUUUAUGAUUUGUGCAUUAUAUGCAUCAUGCAAGAUUUAUCCUGUUAGCUUAAGUCAAUAGUGUAUUUAUUCAAUAACUUACCCUGUGACAACAUAACUCUAAAAAAAAGAUUCUUGAGUACCUUUAUUUUUCUCAAUUGUAUCUUAUGCUAAUAAAGUACUCUGAAUAUGUUCAAGUAAAAAUAUACAAUUUUGGUAUUUGACACUAAAGUAUAUUUUGUUUGAUCUAUAAGAAUAGCUUGCAAUUAUAAAUAUUAUAUGUGGGGUAUUAUUUAUGGAUGAUUUUAAAAAAAAUUACUUGAAGCAAGAGAAGAAAAAAAUUUAGCAGACCAUCAAACCUUUAACACCUACUCGUUGGUAUAGCACGGCUAGCACUGUGUCUAUAUUCUUUUCUUCUCUUCUCCCCACCACCCAAACUGGCCAAUACAAGAACCUUCACACCCGCAUCUUCCCCCAAUAGCUCUCUCAAUUUGACCGCCAGUCCCCUUCACAACCAAGGCAGCAGAAGAGCCACCUCUGUGCCCUCCUCAUCCUGGAAGCAAAGGGGCAGAGAAAGCCUAGCUUCUUCCCCUUGGUAAGGGAGUGAUUUCAAGUUUUCUUUCGAUCUCUCUCCUUGAACUUGUUCCCAUGGAUGUUUUUCCCUGCUGGCCGUCGACUAGGUCCUCCAGGAGACGAAGCUUUCGGACAGCGUGGCGGCUGCAUCGUCGCUUGCCGUACGGAUCGGCAGCAGAGUUCUGAGCAGUAACUGAGUAGAUCGAGCUCCAUUUUUCCAAGUUCAGGAACCACAAGCUGCAAUUUCUCUCCCGACCUGUUUCCUUACCUGCAGCUCUGCUGGCUUUCUCCUUAUAAGCUAGGUGAGACACUGAAACAAUCAAAUCUCUCCCUGCUUUGGUUCUGUCCAGUACCUCUGAAUGUUCAUCUCCAGCCCCCACCAUUUUCUCUCUGCAAGCUGUUAGUAAGCAUGUAUGCAUGCAUCGAGCUGAUGAUGGGAAAAGUUGCCAACAUUGCUGCAUGCAUGUACACACACAUGCAUGUGUAGUGCUGCUCCUUUCUAGCUUAGAUCUGUAGUGUGUGUGCAUGUUUCAGUGUGUAUUUCUUUUCAUGCUCUCUUUUCUUUAUCCUUUUGAAUGUUUCUUCUAUGGAAAAAUCUGAUUGUACCCUUGUAUAAUAGUUUGUUUGUUGUUAAACUAGAAAUCAUGCCUAGGUCUAUCAAUGCUUGACAGUAAAAAUGGUUAACAUGUAAAGAUCCCUACAUUUUGGGCACACAUGUUAUACUCAGGUUCUCUAUCUCUCUCUUUACAAAAAUAUAUAUAUGCCUGUUGCUAUUUUCGAAAUAAAUCAGGAAUUUUGAAAAAAACUCAAGUUAACUUGCUUAAACUUGUGAAUUUUCUGAGUUAGUGCACAACCUAUUUGUAUCCUGGCACCAAGUAAUAUAAAAUCAACAUGCAAAUGUUCAGAAUUAGUGCAGAACCUGUUAUUAGCAUUUUUAUGCACUGCAUUAUUACCGGAAAGUUAGUUUUAACAAAGGGUACCAGAUUAACCCCUAUUUGAUUUAAUGUUCUAUUCCAGGCAGUACAUCUUUUGUUCUACAAAUCAAAACUUGGUGAAACAAACUGCAGUAAUAUUACAUUCCAUCUUUCUUUCAUCAUGCAUAUUUGCUGGUAUUUAUUUUCUCCUUAUUCCUUUCUUUUCCGGUGUUAUUCAAUGAUUUUGGUAGAUUUCGGAGAGGAAGGGACUGCUUCUUUUGAUCUUCAACAGGAGCAGGAGUUUACUGAACAAGGCAAGCAGAGCUUGUUGCAUUCAUUUACCAAUUCUAUUCAAGCAAUUAAUCACUUUUGCUGUUAGAAGCUGUUGUGUGUAUUUUUCUGUACAGAGUUUGGUAACUAGUAUGUUAGGAGUUGUUUGAUUCUGGACCAGCAGUAGCUGGCAUUAAAUGGAUGCUCUAAUCAACUUAAAUUUGAAAAGUAAGAGUGGCGUGGUAGCAUGUCGUGACAAACGGUGGCAAGUUGCUGGUUCCCCGAGCCAUACGUCGGGUAUCUAACUUGGUGCCUCGAACCAUACGUCGAGUAUCUAACAUUUUUGGAGGCCACCGGGUUGAUCACCGAGAUGCUACCAAUAACCCUAGGGACCUGUCGUGAGCACACUAGGAGUGCCUCCGGAUCAGUUUUUCCCUCUUGAGGACUUGCUACCCUCAUUUGGGAAAAACCUCCGGAACACCCGCUGGUGCUUGUAAACGACCGGCUCCUUCCUUAUGAAAAUUGUAAAUUGUUAACUUGAUUGCUUGUAAAUGUUCUUAGUAAUGUUGUCAUGCUGGACCUGAGGUUAUUUGUUAGAAAAAUGGGUCGAGGUAUCAUUAAUUAUCUCAUAUUUUCAAUACUCAUGGUCACAAGUAUUGCUGCCACCUUGAUACAAUGUUUAUGCUUCAGAAUUUUAUUACAUGCUCUGUUCUCAAUCAAGCGCAAUUAAGUCUUGCGAGUACAAUUGUACUCACCUAGGAUUUUCCUAGAUUUGCAGGUGACCCAAGCAUUGCAGACUUUUAUGAUAACGACGUUUAGUGGCUUAUCGCGGUUGGCUGAAUCUUGUGGGUUAUUUUUUGGGCUUUUGUGAGAUGGCUUGUGACUGCCAUCCUGGUUUCUUAUCUACCUUUCCGCUGCUGAAUUUUUAUGUACUAAGUUACUACUUGAGACCUUCAGGUCUUUUGGGCUGUAACCUACUGUUUGCUCUAUGUAUGACAGAUGUAACAUAUACCUUUAUUUUCUCUAUCUUGUAGAAGGCUUGUGUUGUGAUAUCCAAUGUUGUUUUCCAUACACAUCCUUCCACCAUGUAUAAUCUGCGUGUAUGUGAUCCUGGGGUGGUCGGAUGUGUAUGCGGGCGCUGGAAAUUUUAUUUGUGCAUGGAUAAGAUUGAUCACCGGGGCGUCAUUUGACUCAUAACAUCCAAAGUUAUGGGCAUGAGCUGCUGCCUUGACCUGCCCCAAUGUGGUUGAUUUUAUCAUGUACAAAUUAAAUUCCCGGGGUCCCGACAAACAACACCUCUGAUGUUACCUCAAAGGCCAAACACAAACUAAGACACAAACAUGUUCACCUCAUCGUUGCUUCAAGCCUUGCUCUUCUCCUUGCGGGCCGAGCUCCGAGAGAAGUCUCAGAUCUGGUUUGGAAUUGUGUGAUUUUGUGUGGAUAUUAUGGCUUCACCGUAACGGUUAUUUUAAGACACAUUUUUUCCGAAUAUUUUAGUGUUUCUAAUGUUUGUUUGUUUUCAAACAUGCAUGCUUGCUGUCAACAUGUUGACCCUAACAUUCAUUUCUCUUUAGCAUCUUGGAAGUUAGAACUGUUCAGCAAGCAGGUCAGACCAAGCUCAAGUCAUAGCUGUUCAAGUGAAUACCAAUUAUUUUUGAGAAAUAACUAGGUCUAUAUAGCAUGGAGUGUGUAUAUAAAGGGGGGAAAUGCAAAAUUAAGUUAAAAUGACAUGGUACUUAAGCAAUUCAGCCGAAAAAACAACUAAAUCCUGCUCUCAUACAUUCCUAAAAUUUUGAAUAUCCACUCCGGAAAUCCUAUGCCGCCCCUGCCAGCAAGCUAAGAUGUUUUUUCUGAAAUCAUCGAGAGAGGCUACCAAACUGACACAUUAAUUGUCUCCCACGCCAAGUCGGCAAGCCAGCUUGGCAAACAAUCCUACGUGGAGUGUGGCACCCUACUUAGUAAAACGAUCUUACUGUUCUUGCACCCGCCUGCCAACUUCCUUAAUGCACUAUUUGUAACUUGAUGUAUUGAUUAAUUUGCAUCUACUAAAGGCGUGUACAAUGGGGUGACGUCAGCCUUUUUUCAAGCUCUCAACGAUACCACGUAUGAUAAAAUCUGACGUGAAAGAGAGAAAGCCUUAAUGCACAAGCUUUCUCUUAGGGCAUGUACAAUGGUUGACAGCACUGUCUUAUCUUAGGUGUUACACAUCAUUUAGAAAAGACAACAAAACAUGUUGCACAAUGUAUUAUCUCUUAGUGUUAUAUUUUAGAAUUAAUGCUUAGAUGAAUAAAUAACUAAACAAACGCUAAGAAAAGGUGAAAUCUAGUACAAUGGAAAAUUACCUUAUCUUUGCCUUAUCAUUCUUGUACAAUGGGGUGACGUCAGCCUUUUCUUAGCGAUGCCACAUAAGAUAAAAUCUGAUGUGGAAGAGAAAGAAAUUAAGAAAGUCACAAGCCUUCUUUUCACGAGAAUGAUAAGGAAAAUUACCCAUUGUACUAGAUUUCACAUUUCAAUAGUAUUUAUUUAGUUAAUUUUAUUCAUCUAAACAUUAAUUCUAAGAUAGAGCACUAAGUGAUAACCCGUUGUACAACAUGUUUUGUUUUAUUUUCUAAUUGACGUGUAACACAUAAGCGCAUGUACAAUGGUUGAUAAGACUGUCUUCUCUUAUGUGUUCCACGUCAUUUAGAUAAGACAAAAAAACAUGUUGUACAACGGGUCAUCUCUGAGUGCCAUAUAUCUUACAAUUGAUGCCUAGUUGAAUAAAAUUAAUCAAAUAAAUGUUUAAAAAAGGUGAAAUCUAGUACAAUGGGGAGUUUGCCUUUUCUUUGCCUUAUCCUUCUUGUAAAGAGAUCAUCUCUUAACUAAGAGAAGGCUCAUGACUUUCUUCACCCUCUCUCCUCCACAUCAGCAAUUAUCCUACGUGGCGACAUAAGAAAAGGCUGACGUCAUCCCAUUGUACACGCCCUAAGAUAAGGCAGACUUAUCAAUCAUUGUAUGUGUCCUAAACGUCUGCAAUUUACUUCAAAAUUUAUGCAUGGCAUGUUGCAAAACGUUCACAGUAUUAACAACAAAUACUACAAAUAAUAAAUCAAAAUACGCUAGUUACACAAUUAUUACUUGCAAAAAAAAAUUAAAAGUGAGAUUGAAAAAUGGCCGUACUUGACCAAAUAUGUAGAUUAUCACAAAACAAUUAAAUUCACUGAAUGAAGCAGACGGCUACGAUGAAAUUUUCUUGGUACGGUCAACAAAAAUAGGAACGACCGUGAACUUCCAUAAUACAAUACAUAUCACUUAUAGCAGAAAAUAAACCAAACAAAUAAACAUAAGAUAUCAUGUAGUGCUAUCUAGAAAGUUAUUCAACUGCUCAAAUACAUCUCAAGCAACACGUGUUAACAUUUCAGAUGAGCUUCUCAACUACUCAGUUUCUCAAUUAGUAAUAUAUUGGAGUACAGCUUGUUAAUUUCUAGGGAACUCUUGAAGCCAGCAUGGUGUGUAUGUAAAGGAAUAUUGGAUCCUGCGGGACUCUCCCUCAUAGUCGUUCUUGACACGACUAUAGUUUGUAGGGUAUAUAUUUGAUCCUAAGGCUUCAACCUUUGAGGUACUUAAAUGGUAGGCGAGUAUUCCUUUCUCCAUUGAUUCAGUAAGGAAGACAAGCUCUCUGUAUGGGUGAAAUCCGAGUAUCCUAAUUUCGAUAGGAUCUUCAUACACGUAACGACGAUGCUGGACCGUGUACCUGAUGUGAAGCUUCCGUUUCCCUGUUGCUUUCUUGGUCUCUCUUGAAGAAAAUCCAUCAAUCUUGACUACGGUAUCAAGGUCAUCACUAUCCGAGUUCCAUUCAAACUUAUCUUGUACCGUAUCGUUUUUCUUGAAUUUCGGAAGAUGAGAACAAAUAAGUUGUAGUUGACAUCCUUUAACAUCCAAGGCCCGUGAAGUUGUUGUUGACGGUGGCCAGCGAAGCAGGGGCUCAAGGUCUUUGUCAUGCUUCAAGAUCCACUCCAUUUGACCAGAUGACUCGCUAAGGAUCCAAACCUGAAGUCGAUACGGACCAAGUGCCACAAAAUAUACCCCUUUUUCUGACCUGACUAGGUGACGAGUUGGGCGCAUGCUCCUCCCUCUCAUUAUACGCGCAGGUGGUCUGAUUGCACAGUACUUGUUGUCUGACAGGUAUAUUCUGCAAAAAAAAAAAGAAGCUUUUUCACGAUUGAGGGAAAUUAAGAUAAAAUGGCAAAAGCAAAUUUUGUGGUGGGGAGUGGGUACACAGACAUGCACCUUACAACGAAAUUAGCUUCUCGGUGGACGUAAAGUGCUCCCCGCCAGUAAACAGCACAUUGUUGCGAAUCCAAGAGCAAUUUAUUGAUUACGGUCCCUCGAACACGGUCGCCCCCUUGUCGAACAAAGGACCUCUCCUCCCAUUGACCUGACCUUGAGGAGAAGACACGCAAGACGAAUGGAGACGAUGGCCACGUCUCCAGCAAUGGAUCGUAGUAGUCGGCGAAAUUCGUGGAGCGCAGAUGGGGGAUCGCGAACACCUCGUAGUGCGGCGACACGUAGGAUCAUAGACUAGGCACCUCUUGAAGCUCGUAUGGAAAACGCGUUGCAUUAAUUUGCAAGGGAGAUACUGUCCUACAGAGUAGUCUCUAGUAAGCUCAUGAAAAGGCCUGGAGAAUGACUUAUAUGCUCCACACCGCGGGUAGCAUUCGGCAGCCCAGUACCAGACAACAAUUUAGUGAAGCUCUAACACAGAAAACUGACAAUUCAAGAUUUGUCCAUUGUUCAGUUGUGCGUGAGUGAAGCUAUUUGUUUAGGUGGAUGUUCAACUUUAACCGGUCUCCACUGAAACGCUGGUAUAUCAAAAACAGAGUUUUGGAUCAAUGGGAAUUUUAUGUGCUUAUGAGAUAUUGUGGGGGAUUGUUGAAAUUUUGGGUUAGGCCCAAGGCCCAAUCUGAAAUUAGUUCCUGAAAAAUCUCAAAAGCUCAUUCAUGGAGUGGGAUGAGGAAGUGGGAAUAGUCCCACCUUGCUAGUUUAGGUGGAGUUGGACCAAUAUAUAAGGUAUGUUGGUCCUCACCUCUGGAGCAAGUGAGCAAGGGAAAUCCCCACGCGCGCUCCUCCUCCUCCUCCUCCUCCGCUCGCCUCGCCUCGCCUCGCCUCGCCUCGCCUCGCCUCGCCUCGACUCGACGCGCGCGCCGCGUUUCGUGGAUCGAGUUCGAGCCGUGCCGUGCCGGGUCGGUGCGGGGCGGGGCGGGGUUGUGCUUAUCUUUUUGGCAGUCGGAAUCCGUUGUGGACGCGUAACAAAUCCUGAUAAUUGCGGAGUCGAUUUUGGUUUCCUAAACCGAACCGAAGUCCGCCUUCGUGCCUAUAUAGGACGUACCACGCCACAACUCUAGCCGUCACGCCCACGAUCCAAUCUCGAUGUUCGCCGCCAACUGCUACUCCAUCCCUACAGAAGUGUAAAAGAAAGUGGAUUCAUCAGAUGAUACAUGAGUCACUAAUUCCGAAUCAAGAGAUUUGUUGUGGAAUUUUUCAAUUGAGUAAAGUAAUAAUAUUAAAAACAACAUCAUCUAACCCCAUUGAAAAAUUCAAUUGGAUUUUUAGGGGAAUUUUGGAAGAAGAGAGAAAUAAACAAUUGAAUUUGAAAAAAGAAACUUCUUCCUAUUUUGGAUUAUUUCUUUAGGAUUUAACCCUCUUUUUUGAGUGAAAGGUGGAAUUUCCCCCUAUUCUUUCUUAUUUUAACUGAUUGUAUUCCAUAUGGAAUAAGAGGAGAAGAAAAGCAUUCCACUAUCCCCUGAAGGGCCCUUAAAAAAGAAACCUCUUCCUUGAAUUUACUUUAUUUUUAUUCCUUUUUCGAAAACGAGUCGCUUCAAUUAUCCUUUGAAGUUCUAUCUUCGUCGACUGCGUGCACAGAUCGCCGGGAGAGCAGGCCUCCGGAACCCCGACCUUCAAGAUCCUGCCCGGAAGACGGUCGAUAAGGUUUUUGGGGAGCGUUCUCACGCGACUACUCGCUUCUUCACGUCCCUGUUUCGUCGGCAUCUUCAUCAUCAAUGGCCGAUGACCUCGGAGAUCCCGCGGCUCAGGCUGCCGCUCUAGCUCGGCAGCAGCAGGCUGCCCAACUCCAAGCCUAGGAAACUGCUGCAGCACAGGCGCAAGCGCAGGCGCUGGCCGCUGCCCAGGAGGAAGUCAAGGCUGCUGCUGCUGCUGCCGGCGUGAACAUCGACGCCGCCGGACUCGUCACCGACCUCAACAAACAAUCACAAGAAAAGAGUACAGCACCGUACGUAAUCUGCACUUUCUUGUUGAUUUUGAUUAGUAGUUCUAUUAUUCAUGCCGUGAAAUUAGAUGAGUUUUAUUGUUGUGCGUUGCUAUUUAAUUUGUCUAGUUUGCAUGAUAUAAUAUGCUACAUAUUUUACACAUUGUUUUUCUGGAUUAAAUAUUCAUCGAAAUUACCUAAUUAUUCAACAAUCCAAGAACCUUAUUCGUGUAGGCAAUUUUCGAUGUCUCAAUUUGUUGUCGCAUUGAAACCACCUGUGUUUACUGGACUGCACUUUAAGAGGUGGCAGUAUAAAUGUCAUAUGUGGCUCGUGACUAUGGGCGCAUGGUGGGCGGUACAACACGGAAAGACUCAAACAAUUGCUCCUCAGCAGUUGUAUGUUGCGGCUUGUGUUGUAGUCGUCGGUGCGAUCUGUAGUGUGCUGGGAGAUAAGCUCGUUCAUGCUUAUCUGCACUAUCAGGAUGCCAAAGAGUUGUGGGAUGCGCUCGAUGCCAAGUUUGGUGCAUCUGACGCUGGCAGUGAGCUGUACGUCAUGGAGCAGUUCUUUGACUAUAAGAUGGUUGCAAACCGAUCUGUAGUGGAACAAGCUGAUGAGUUACUGACUAUGGCUAAGGAACUCGAGCAAUUCAAAUGUCCACUACCCGACAAGUUUAUCGCCGGGGGCAUCAUCAUCAAGCUUCCUCCCUCGUGGAGGAACUUUACUACUUCACUAAAACACAAGAGACAAGAAAUCUCUGUGGAGAACCUUAUUGGGACUCUUGAUGUUGAGGAGAAGGCGAGAGCAAAAGAUGCUAGCCCCAAAGGCAACACACAAGAGGAUACGUCCACUGCCAACAUGGUUCAGAGGAAUAACCACAACAACAGUAACAACAAAGGAAAGGGAAAGGCAUUCAACAAUGCUGGUCCAAAGAACACUACCAGUUUCAAGAAGAAGAAGAAAGGAGGCAUCAUUGCUUUGUGUGCGGAGGACUCGGCCACUGGGCGAGUAACUGCAAGGAGCGCAAAGGAGGACAGAUUCGGCAAAAGUUUGCUAAUAUGACCAUUGGCAACAAUGAAGAUGCAGGCGGGUAUGGUAAUUUAUUUACUGUAUUUUUUGUAUGUCAGUCCACCGAUUGGUGGGUUGAUACAGGUGCAACUAUUCAUGUGUGUGCUGAUAUUUCCUUGUUUUCUUCAUAUCAGGCCAUCAGCUCCUCAGUGACGAUGGGGAACGGCGCCCACGCUUCUUUUCAUGGUGUUGGCACGGUGGACCUGAAGUUUACUUCGGAAAAGAUCGUGCAACUGAGGAACGUGCAGCAUGUGUCCUCCAUUCAGAAGAAUCUUGUUAGUGGAUCCCUCCUUUGCAAGGACGGAUUUAAGUUAGUGUUUGAGUCCAAUAAAGUUAUUGUGACUAAGUAUGAACAAUUUAUUGGUAAAGGUUAUGAGUGCGGAGGCUUGUUCCGCUUAUCCCUUUCAGAUUUUUGUAAUAAGGUCAUGAACAACGUCAAUUCUAUUAAUAAUGAGUCUAAUGUUUGGCGUUCACGACUUUGUCACAUUAAUUUUGGUUGCAUGAUGCGAUUAGCAAAUCUGAGUUUAAUCCCUAAAAUCACUGUGGCUAAAGGUUCGAAGUGCCAAGCUUGUGUGCAAGCGAACCAACCUUGCAAGCCUCACAAGGCUGCUGAGGAGAGGAACCUAGCACCGUUAGAGCUCAUACGUUCUGAUCUUUGUGAGAUGAACGAUGUAUUAACCAAAGGUGGAAAACGUUACUUUAUGACUUUCAUUGAUGAUGCGACUAGAUUCUGUUAUGUGUAUUUAUUAAAAUCAAAGAAUGAAGCAUUACAUUAUUUUAAGAUCUAUAAAGCUGAAGUCGAGAAUCAAUUUGAGAAGAAAAUUAAACGUUUGCGGUCUGACCGCAGUGGAGAAUAUUUCUCCAGUGAGUUUAAUUCAUUUUGUGAGGAACAUGGCAUAGUCCAUGAGAGGACGCCUUCCUAGUCGCCCCAGUCAAACGGGGUUGCUGAGAGGAAAAACCGCAUGCUGACUGACUUGGUCAACGCCAUGUUAGACACUGCUGAUUUAUCCAAGGCAUGGUGGGGGGAGGCGCUAUUGACUUCGUGUCAUGUCCUAAAUUGUGUUCCCACAAAAGAUAAAGAAGUCACCCUCGUACGAGCUAUGGGAAAAGACGAGACUCACACUUUCUUACUUACGGACUUGGGAUUGUUUGGCAAAAUUCAAUGUGCCAAUUACCAAGAAACGUAAGUUUGGACCAAAAACCGUUGAUUGUGUAUUUCUUGGCUACGCACUUCGUAGUGUUGGCUAUAGAUUCUUGGUUGUAAAUUCUAGAGUACCUGACAUGAGCGUCGGUACAAUUAUGGAGUCCAGGGAUGCUACAUUCUUUGAGGACAUAUUUCCCAUGAGAGAUAUGCAUAGCACAUCUAGAGAGGAUCAUGAUGUACCUGCUGAACCCGUCAGUUCAGAGGAACAUCAGGAUCAUGGUGCAGCUCCUGAACCCGCCAUCACAGUGAAUUUUUUUGAACAAACACUUGAUGAGAUUCCUGAGGAGUAUGACAAUGAAGCCCCUAUUAGGGGUAAGCAACAAAGGAUUGCUAAAUCGUUUGGUGAUGAUUUCAUUGUGUACCUUGUGGAUGACACCCCUAAAACCAUUAAUGAGGCAUUUGCAUCUCCGGAUGCAGACUAUUGGAAGGAAGUCAUUCGUAGUGAGAUGGAUUAUAUCAUGGCUAAUGGUACUUGGGAGAUCGUUGACCGUCCGUACGGAUGCAAACCUAUAGGAUGCAAGUGCAUAUUCAAGAAAAAGCUUAGGCCUGAUGGCACUAUUGAGAAGUACAAGGCGCGGCUUGUGGCCAAGGGUUUUACCCAAAAAGAAGGUGAAGAUUUCUUUGAUACUUACUCACCUGUAGCUCGAUUGACCACAAUCAGAGUAUUACUAUCACUGGCCGCCUCAUAUGGUCUGAUCGUCCAUCAAAUGGACGUUAAGACACCUUUCCUUAAUGGAGAGUUGGACGAGGAAAUUUACAUGAACUAGCCAGAUGGAUUUGUAAUAAAGGGUCAUGAAGGCAAAGUGUGUAAGUUAUUAAAGUCUCUAUAUGGCCCGAAACAAGCUCUUAAGCAAUGGCAUGAGAAGUUUGACAAAACUUUAACAUCUGCCGGCUUUGUUGUAAACGAAACUGACAAAUGUGUAUACUACCGCCAUGGUGGGGGUGAGGGAGUUAUACUUUGUUUGUAUGUCGAUGACAUACUAAUAUUUGGGACUAACCUCAAAGUGAUUGAAGAGGUUAAGACUUUCUUGUCAAAGUGCUUUGACAUGAAAGACUUUGGUGUAGCUGAUGUUAUUCUGAACAUCAAGCUCAUGAGAGACGACAAUGGUGAGAUCACUUUGUUGCAAUGUCACUAUGUGAAAAAUAUCUUGAGUUGUUUCGGCUAUGCUGAUUGUAAACCUUCUCCAACUCCUUAUGAUCCAAGCGUUCUGCUUCGAAAGAAUCACAGAAUUGGAAGAGACCAACCAAGAUAUUCUCAGAUUAUUGGUUCGCUCAUGUAUUUGGCUAGCGCAACUAGACCUGACAUCUCUUUUGCUGUGAGCAAACUGAGUCGGUUCAAUAAGAAUCCGGGAGAUGAUCAUUGGAGUGCACUCGAGAGGGUCAUACGCUAUCUAAAGAGCACAAUGAGCUAUGGUAUACACUAUACUGGAUACCCAAGGUACUUGAGGGUUAUAGUGAUUUAAACUGGAUAUCUGAUGUUGAUGAGCUAAAGGCCACGAGUGGAUAUGUGUUCACACUCGGAGGGGCGCUGUUUCAUGGAAGUCUUGCAAGCAAAUGAUCUUAACCAGGUCAACAAUGGAAGCAGAACUUUCAGCAUUAUAUACAUCCACGGUUGAAGCCGACUGGCUUCGUGAGCUCUUGAUGGAGUUGCCGAUUGUUGAAAAACCAAUACCGGCGAUUCUUAUGAACUGUGACAAUCAAACUUUGAUAGUCAAAGUGAACAGUUCUAAAGAUAACAUGAAGUCAUCAAGACACGUCAGGAGACGUCUAAAAUCUGUCAGAGCAAUAAGAAAUUCCGGAAUAAUAGCAUUGGGAUAUAUCCCAACGGCUAAAAAUCUGACAGAUUCCUUUACAAAGGGUCUAUCAAGGAAUGUGAUAAAAUCUGCAUCAAGGGAGAUGGGGUUGCGACCCACGUGAGUUACCAUGGCGGUAAACCAACCUAUGUGAUCGGAAAUCCCGUCAAUUAGGACCUGUGAAACAAGUCAUUGGAUAACUGAGGAGAGCGUACAUUCUUUAUCCCACUCCGUUGACGGUGCAUUACUCUCGUGUACUGUAUGGUAGGUUGUUUAACUUAAUGUGUUCUAACGCGUUGCAUUAAUUUGCAAGGGAGAUACUGUCCUACAGAGUAGUCUCUAACGAACACACCUAUAUGAACCUGACUGUUGGUCGCAGUCUAUGAGAUUUGGGUGAUCUCUAGUAAGCAUCAUGAAAAGGCCCGGAGAAUGACCUAUAUGCUCCACACCGCGGGGUAGCAUUCGGCAGCUCAGUACCAGACAACAAUUUAGUGAAGCUCAAACACAGAAAACUGACAAUUCAAGAUUUGUCCAUUGUUCAGUUGUGUGUGAGUGAAGCUAUUUGUUUAUGUGGAUGUUCAACCUUAACCGGUCUCCACUGAAACGUUGGUAUAUCAAAAAUAGAGUUUUGGAUCAAUGGCAAUUUUAUGUCCUUAUGAGAUAUUGUGGGGGAUUGUUGGAAUUUGGGUUAGGCCCAAGACCCAAUCUGAAAUUAGUUCCUGGAAAAUCUCAAAAGCUCAUUCAUGGAGUGGGAUGAGGAAGUGGGAAUAGUCCCACCUUGCUAGUUUAGGUGGAGUUGGACCAAUAUAUAAGGUAUGUUGGUUCUCACCUCUUGAGCAAGUGAGCAAGGGAAAUCCCCACGCGCGCUCCUCCUCCACCUCAUCCGCUCGCCUCGUCACGACGCGCGCGCCGCGUUUCAUUGAUCAAUUUUGAGUUCAAGCCAUGCCGGGUCGGUGCGGGGCGGGGUCGUGCUUAUCUUUUUGGCAGUCGGAAUCCGUUGCGGACGCGUAACAAAUCUCGAUAAUUGCGGAGUUGGUUUUGAUUUCCUAAACCGAACCGAAGUCCGCCUACGUGCCUAUAUAAUAAGACGACCGUGCCAUCCGGACGUACCACGCCACAACCAAAGCCGUCACGCCCACGAUCCAAUCUCGUUGUUCGCCGCCAACUGCUACUCCAUUUCGUCGACUGCGUGCACAGAUCGCCGGGAGAGCAGGCUUCCGGAACCCCGACCUUCGGGAUCCUGCCCGGGAGACGGUCGAUAAGGUUUUUGGGGAGCGUUCUCACGCAACUGCUCGCUUCUUCACGUUCCUGUUUCGUCGGCAUCUUCAUCAUCAAUGGCCGACGACCUCGGAGAACCCGCGGCUCAGGCUGCCGCUCUAGCUCGGCAGCAGCAGGCUGCCCAACUCCAAGCCCAGGCAACUGCUGCUGCACAGGCGCAAGCGCAAGCGUUGGCCGCUGCCCAGGAGGUAGUCAAGGCUGCUGCUGCUGCCGGCGUGAACAUCGACGCCGCUGGAUUCGUCACCGACCUCAACAAACAAACACAAGAAAAGAGUACAACACCGUACGUAAUCUGCUUUUUCUUGUUGAUUUUGAUUGGUAAUUGUAUUAUUUAUGCCGUGAAAUUAGAUGAGUUUUAUUGUUGUGCGUUGCUAUUUAAUUUGUCUAGUUUGUAUGAUAUAAUAUGUUACAUGUUUUACACAUUAUUCGUCUGUAUUAAAUAUUCAUCGAAAUUAUCUAAUUAUUCAAGAAUCAACUUCUCGAAGAAACCGGUCCAGAAAAGAACUGGCCUUCAGCCGGCGGGUGGGCGGCCGAUCGAGCAGUAACCUCGCGGCAAUGCGGCAAGAUGAGGUUCUGCAAGAUGCUGCAGUGCUCUGCUGUUUAAAUUUCAGACAUAUUAUUUACUCCAGACCUCUGCAAGAUUUAAUCAGUUCACAGCAUCAAGCACUUCACCGAGCAGCUCCGGUCAUGGAAAUGGCUGAAGGGCUGGACCGCCACGGCAAAAUCUGGGAAAAUAAUUAGGUAAGCCCCGGGCUCACCCAAGCCUCGAUGCGCCCCUCCGUGGAUGGCUGCCACGUAUCCUUGUUUUUCCUCUCCGUGGAUGGCUGCCACGUAUCCCUGUUUUUCCUCCCAUGAUUGCUGAUGGCCCCAACGUGACCCUCCUCCUCCCCCAUGAUUGUUAGUUGCGGUUGCAGCGCAGAAAAAUCACCGUCGGAUCCACGCUCGCUGCUCACGUGGCUGACCAUCCACGGAGGGGCGCAGGAGGCUUACGUGAGCGCGGGGCUCACCCAAUUAUUUUUCAAAAACUGAAACUCACCGUAUAGGACGGGAUUGACUUGCCCUCCUCUGGCAAUGGUAAAUUAGACCGUAAACAGCCACGCCCAUAAUUAAGAGUAAAGAUCAACGGACAUAAUUAAUUCCGGCGGGAGUGCUAAAAAGUACCGAGAAGUACUCGACAAUCACUGUAAAAGUGUUUUGGUUAAAUAUUACUCCCUCCGUCCCAUAUUAAGUUGACUAAGUUUGGUACUGAGAAGUUGACUAAGGAGUAAUUUCGAAAGACCUAAUAUUGUUCAUAAGUUGACUAAGUUUGGUUCAGUAUUAAUGGAGUAGUUUUGUAGCCAGCGGUUUUCCUAGAUAUAGCCCACAAGAGGUACGCACGCAACCAUGCACUUAGGAAUAGAAUGCAGAAAUGAAUCCUUCAGAAUUAAGCCUGCAUGCCAUUGAUCCUUGUCUAAAGUCUGAAGUCGUCGAUUGCUGACUUUCCCUCGAAGACCUUGUUCGUUUUGAAGCGUUUUGCCCUGGACUGGGAAGGAUCGGGAGGAAAUGCCAUAACAUGGCCACUAGGUGAGGUAGUAACUGGGGAUCUAGGUAGCUCAGCUUUAACACGUCCUGAAAUGCGAUAACAUCCGGUUUGGAUGGCAGGAUUAGUUUCAUAUUUAGGAAUUGCUUGCCAUGAGGAGGAGGCGUUUCCAGUGAAGACAAUAUCAACCCGCGAUCCAUUCGAAUAAUACUUUGCUUUGAGAACUCUCGUACACAAGGAGGUGGUUUGUCAAUGCGCCAUGCUUGGAAACUCAGCAGAGAUGCCCUCGCUACUCAAGUCAACCUCUGCAAUCAGAAGAUGGAAAAGGUUAGAAUGCCAACUUUGCGGAGGAGAGGACGAGGACUUGUUCCAUGCCCUUGUUCGAUGUCCUAAUGCGCGCGCCAUCUCGCAUGCCAUGCGCUCGUGUUGGGACAUCCCCGAUCCUAACAAGCUGCAGAACACGGGACCGGGCUGGUUCCUCCAUGCUCUCUCGACCUUGGACAAGACGAAGGCUGCGAUGCUUCUUAUGAUGUUUUGACGUAUCUGGCAUGUUCACAAUGAUAUCAUGCACGACAAAACUCCUGAGCCGGUGGUGGCUUCUCGGCGGUUCUUAUGCAGCUACAUGGACUCACUUCUUCUCAUCAAGAAAAACAAUGGGUUAGAUGUGGUCAAGGGGAAGCAGGUGUGUGCCUACUCUGUUAGAUUGAAAGGCAAUCAGAAGCGUGACGGUCAUCUCAAGUCUGGAGAUGCUCGCUAGAAGCCGCCAGACACCGAUUCGGUCAAGCUAAACGUGGACGGGUCCUUUUCUCCGGAUGACUGACUCGGCUGGCAUUGGCAUUGUUCUUCGCAACCACAGAGGUGAGGUUAUUUUCUCAGCUUGCAGCAGCAUUCCUCACUGCACUGGUGCCCUCGAAGAUGAACCGAAGGCAUGUGAAGAGGGCUUGAGAGUGGCGAUGGGCUGGUCUGAGAAGUUCAUCAUUCUUGAGUCGGACUGUGCUGAGGCCCUCUCGAUGGCCUAUGCUAAACAUCCAGACAGAUCGCCCUACGCCAUGUGUGUCAGUGAGAUCCGUCGUCUGCUUGAUGAACAUCCUAUUACCGUCUGCAAAGCUAGUAGGACUCAAAACUGUGUUAGCCACAUAUUGGCAAACUAUGCUAAGGUAAAUAACCGUACUGAAAGUUCAGUUCGUCACGGUCCGGAUGUGAUCUCGGAUGCUGUAAUUCUCGACGAACUAGUCCUGCUGUUUAAUGAAGUUUCCUUUUCAAAAAAAAAAUCAGGAAUUGGAAUCGUAUACGGCCAAUGCGAGCUGUUUGUAUUUUAGUAAUGGAAACUGGUCAAUUGGAAUUUGGAUUUCAGGGACGAUUCCGCGGGUUUUGAUGGACACCGGAAAGACCCCCGCCCAGUACAGAGCCUAACCCUUCCAAAUUACGAGGAAACCAUUAAUCGGAGGCAUGGUGAUAGUUUAUCACGGUUUUCGGGUGGCAGCAGAAAACUUCCAUCGAGCUUGUAGUAAAACAGCCAGAAUUAAACGGCAUGGCUGGGAGAAGCCUCCGCGAGAUAUUGUGAAACUUAAUGUGGACGCAGCUCUCGAUCAGGAUUCUCUUGAGGGAGCAAUUGGAGCUAUUCUUCGGGAUGAUAAAGGAGAUUUUGUGGCUGCAGCAAACCAGAAAAUUUCUGGGUGUCCAUCUGUACCUGUUGCUGAGGCUAUGGCUUUAUAUCUCGGCUUGGAGUUGUCCGUUACUGCUGGUUGUAACCGACUCAUUGUGAAUUCAGAUAGUAUGGAAGUCGUUGAGGUCAUGAACCAGGGAGGACGAGCUGCGGGUCUUGGUGCCCGUCUUUGAUGAUUGUUUUUAUCUUGCGACAGAUUGCGUCAAGAUUUCAUUUGUCCACUGUCCUCGUGAAGAAAACACAGUUGCCCAUGAGCUCGCUCAGCUUGCGAAAUUCUCCCCACCUCUGGUUUGGUUAGAGCAUCCUCCUAGUAGUAUUGUACCUCUUCUUUUGAAAGAUGUAACCAUGAUUGAUAAUGAAUAAAGAGGUAUUUACUUGGUCAAAUAAAAUUCACAAAAUUGACAGCACGUACUUCUUCACGAAAGCAUGUGGUUUGGUUAUAUCAGCCGGCCAUAUUAUAGAAAAAUAAAGAGUAAAAUGCAUCAAAGGUCCUAAUUUUUUGCAAAGGUGCCAAGUUAGUCCUAAAUGUUUCAAAAUGCACGUUUAGAUCCAGUAAUAUUUUAAGUGGUUCAUCACGGUCCUUCUAGUGUAUGUACCACUCUGACCGUAUGACGUGGUUAUUUGACUAAUGCCACCUAGGACCGGGCCCACAGGUCAGGUAAGUACAUGGAUUAAAAAUUUAUAAAAAAACCGUAACUAAGGUUUUCCAUUCGUUGUCCCUGGCAGAACACCUGGCGGGGGGUUUUCUAUAUGACUUUAAUCCAUGUACUUACCUGACGUGUGGGCCCAAUUCUAGGUGACACUAGUCAGAUGGCCACGUCGUACAGUCGGAGGGACGCAUAUACCAAAGGGACCUGUGAUGAACCACUUAAGAUACUAUUGGAACCUAAAUGUGCAUUUUGAUAGAUUUGAUACUAAUUUGACACCUUCGCAAAAGAAUUAGUACCUCUGAUGCAUUUUUCUCAAAAAUAAAUAUCAGCCAGCCAUACCUUCACGCAGAACUGUGAGUCGCGAGAUAAUAAUUCUGGCAAGGGAGCAUCCAAGCAAUUUUGUCGAUUUCAUAUGGUAUAUCAAAGCAUCAUAGAUAAAGAGAGAUAACGAGCAUGAGUUGUGACUGACGACAUGAAAAACACACCUUCUAUCCAACAGGCGAUAUGAUAAACUCAGAAAUCCACAAACACAUACUAAUGUUUAGAUUGCCGCGAUUUGAAGAUGUUCAUCUUGUAGUACUGCAGCUCCUUGAUGCUCUCUCUGAUGUCGUCCCUCGCCCUGUGGUUUUUCUCCUUUCUUGGAGCUUGCUUCUUUUCUGUCAACAGUCAAAUAGCAGAAUGAGCAAAGUUUUGUCCUGUAGAGAUUUUCGCAGGUAUAUUUCCUAUGUAUCCCAAGAUAAAAACUACUCAGUGUUAUGUUUGCUAUACAUGAUGGCCCUGGACUUAGUUAUCGUUUGGAAUCCAGCCAAGGUCAAUUUGAACAAAUUUCAACUUUCAAACUCUUUUGAAUAAGCCGACAGGUAUAGUCACACAGAAAUACAUCAAAAAUGGAUAAUUAUAUGACUCUAUGCCUGUUUGGACAUGAGAUUGUUUUUCUGAUUCAUGUGAGCAGUAAACAGUUUCUUGUGAAUUUGUGUUCCAAACAAGCAUCUAUAGUCUAAUAACACUUGUUAACAUUUUCAUCUCACUAACUGAUCCUUAAAUUUUGCUCCAGUUUCAUCAUUAGUUCUCUGUCCCAGUGAAUAUCUUGUAACCAAAGAUGUGGUUUAUCACCAGAAUCUCGAACUAAUCUGGUCUGGACCAGAGUGAUAAAACAAAAGCCAUACAAUUAUGAAAACGAAAAUUCUGCAACACUACUGUGAUAAUAUAUGGGAUAAUAAUUUACCCUUGGGGAACCAGCGGAUGCACAAAGCCGUUAUGCUGCUCACAUCAACUAUCACAUGAGGGAAUAUGCCUGCAAGCUGCGGCAUAUACUCCUAGAUAUAAAAACACACAAGUCAAGCCAAAAGUCUCUCAAAGUAAACUGAUAAUGCUACUAAUCCUACUAAAGUACUCUGGAAUAUGUUUUCACCAUAAUAUCUACUGUAGAGUAAAUAAUGUUCCCAUUUUUUAACAGAACGUUAAAUAUUGUAUUCUUAUCGUGUAUAGCAGGAGCAUGCAUAGUACUGUAAUAAAUAUGGCAGAAACGUUCAAAACUUCAAAUAGCAUGAACCAUUUCAUUUUCAACAAAUAGCUAAGGAAGGUUUUCUCUUACUAACCUUCAAAAAUAGUAAAUCUGUAUAGAUAGAAUUGCCAGCUAUCAACGGAGUUGCCGAACCUAUAUACCUCCUAACAAAGUCUAACACCUGAAAAUAGCUAACACAGGAAACCUUUGUGAGGAAACGAUAAAGUGGAUAGAGGAUCAUCAAGGAAAUAGAAAUGGGUGUUCUCAGAAAAAUAAUAAGCAAUAGUUAAGGAAACAACAAACUACUUGCACACAACAGUACUAACACAUAACUAAUAGCAUCACACGCCAGUUUUGGAUUGUGUCUCUGUGUGUAAGUGCUUUCCUGUGCAUGAUGCCCAUAUACAGUAUGCAAGGAUUGAAAAGCUAAGGCUGAAUCCAAAAAAUUCCAGACAAGUCUUCAAUUUUAACCAACGGUGCUAGGCGCUAGUAGGCAGCACCUAGCACCGAUUCACUGGCAGGAAAUAAGAUAGGGCGGUGAGGCAGGAAGGUCUCGCCUAGCACCACCAAGGCGGUUGCCUUUCAGAACACACAUACAUAUUAGGAUACUUCUUGCCACAGAAACCACGGCACGAUGUAAUUUACCAAACAUACAACCAGCAGAACAGUAGAAUUGGUGCAGGAAUUACAGACAACAAAUGCAUUACUGUUCGGAAUAAACAAAAUAACGAGUCAUGUUAUAAGAUUUCCUUUACCUAGAGAGGCAGGGAAGGUACACAAGAACCUAUUGAGCAGGACUGUACAAGACAUACAUGAUUGCUUGAAAUAUAUUGAUAUUGAUAUUUAUAUAUCAAGAGUUCAAGACAACUUAGUAUAAAGAUGUCAACAAGACUCUAAUGUGGACAAAUAACCUUAUUGCCCAUAUUCAAACAAUAUAUGGACCAGAAAUCUUCAUGGCUGCAUGUAUGCUUACUCCAUAUUUGCAAAAUAUACCAGCCAACAAAAAGAAAAUAUAGUUCUGCCUAGAUGUCUUUAUCAGCAAUAUGUGGUGGAUCCGUGGAUCAUACGAUCAAACAUUUGCACUCUACACAUUAGCAGUAGCUAGUAGACAUUUUCUUUCUGAGAUUUCUAGUAAAAAAAUAAUACUUCAAUUAUAUGAGCACUGUCAGAUUAGUCAGAGCUACCAAAAAGGACUAGCGUACUUGUUUCUCUGCAUCAUGCUCAGAAAUGUCACUCUGCAGUACUUUUUCUGUCAGUCCUGUAUUGGUUACAAGAGUAUUAUUUUCAGAAGUCCUAAAUUGGUUGCAUUAGCAACAUAUUAUAUUCACAUGUCACUUCUGAAAAAUGAUAAGAUAUUUACCACUGGCGCCGUGGUGGAUUUUACACCAUUCAUUCAUGUCAUCUAAGCAUUCCUUGCUCUGUCUUAUUACCAAAUCAGGACCCUGCAAAAGAAAGUUGCAAUAGCUAAGUUGAGUUAUUUGCCUAGCUAUUGCACACCAACAGAUAUAAUUCAAUACUAAUAUGGUUGGUGACAAAGGAAUGAGAAAGCAGCAAUCUGCCUUGCUAACUCAGAUACACAACACUUUGUAAUUGAAGCUUGUCUGUGAAUAGUCAUACCACAGUACAGUUAUUCUGUAUAUGCCGCAUAAACAGGGCUGGUGGGCCGAGGAGUAGAUAUACCCUUAAUGGGGCCCAUACGGGCUUCUGCGGACCUAGGUGGAUACACCCCGGGUUCCCUAUGGAAGUCUUGUGAAAGACUUGGAAAUGAUUAACACGAGUUUUACUUGGAUAGAUACAACCUGGUCGUACCCAUAAACGUCAUGGAAUCCAAAAUUCAUAGUAGUCUAAGAAGGUAUCAUAACAUUUUAGAAGCAACAAAACACUUGCUACUUGGUUAAAAAGCCACCUCUACUCGUUUGGUAAGUUUACCAUCCGUUAUAAUACAAGCAAUCUCCAGUAUGCGAUCUUUUGUGAUAUCCAAACCUAAACAAUAGAAAACCAGCAUGUCGUCCAUUAGUCAUUAUUUUGGCAUCGUGUAAAAGUUAAAAUUGACGAUAAGAGUUUGAACAGAAUAUAAACAAAAUUCUAUUUUGACAUAUCUGCAUAGUACAUACUCCAUCCAGCCCACAAGAAAUGACGUUUUGGAAAUAUCUUCUGUGAAACUUAUAAGACAUUUAGCGCACAUGUAGCUUUAAAUAUUAAGAUUGAAAGCUUAAGAUCACAUGUAUAGCUUUGUCUCGAAAAAUAUUUCAGAAGAAUAUAUUACACACGUAGUACAAUAAAGUACUGGUCAAAGUUAGUCUUAAAGAUUGUGCCAAUGUCCAAAAUGUCACUUUUUGUUAACUGGAAGGUUUAUCAAUUAGAGGAGAAUAAUAGGAGCAAUUAGCGAAAUGCCCACAAGGCACACUUCACACCAGAAAACAGUAGAUGCAGAACAAGUUCCUUCUUCACAUAUGAAUUAUGAUUACCAAGCAAAUCACUAAUGAGCUGUAUACUGCUUAGCGUGGAGUUAUAUCAUGUCUAUAGUCCAACUAUUUUGAAGGGGUUCGGACCAACUAGUUUGCACAUGUGAAGCAACAGAAGUGUCCUCACAAUUUGCGGAAUUAAUGUGAAGUAAAUUAAACAUUUAGAAUGUCAAAAGAUUAAACAUUUAGUACGUAAUAAUCUUGCGACUCAACCAACACUGAUACUAGAUCUUUUGACCUUUGUGUUUCCUAAUCUGUAAUUUUUUGAAAAUUAAAUUACAUUAGGUAUAAAACUAUGAACAUAUUGUGUGACAGUACCACACAAAGGAAGAUACGCUCACCAGUCAUUUCCAAGUCUAUCCACACCAGUGGCAUCUUGUAUUCACUGGAUGAUGAAGCAAGGUUAUCCCCAUCAUAGUUUACAAUCAUUUUGUGAUUCUCCCUGCCACUGUCUGCAAAAUAUGAUUUCAAAAUCUCAUUAUAAAAGUGAACUGUAAUAAAAAAGGAAAAAAAAGUCUUUUUAAAUUCUCAUUUCUGCCGAUGAUUCAAAGGAUCAGAAUGGAAGUUACCGAUCAUCUGGUACAAUUAUUUGGAACUUAAACUUUUUGCACACUACAAAGACCUUAUUUCUCCUAAAGAUAUAACAUAAUUGGAGCCUCAUGGCUAAGGUACUGAAUAUUCACCAAGUAAAUGUUGGUGGUGAGGGUUUUAAACACCAAUGGAAUGCUUGAUCUAGAUGCACACAGAAACAAAUGGCAAGAAGGACACCGAUGUGGUUGUGCUAUGCACUUAUGCUCCCGCACAGCUUUUGCCAGAUUUUGUGAAACUGAUGAGCUGAAAUGUUCUGUCUUGAGUUUGUUUUGAAGUAGCUAAAAAACCGUGUGGUGCCAGACAGGUAAGUAUUCCAUGAUCCUGUUAGUCUAGAAAAAUCAAAACAUUACCUGAUACUCAAGAGAUAAUACAGUAAUUAAUAUCUUCCUCAGUAACAACUAAAAUUACCUGAGUACUUAGUUAGUUGUUACACUACUAAAAAAGUACUCCAUAUUUAUUAAAAUCGGCAACCAGUUAAUCACACAGUACAUAGGUAAUCGCUGACAGCAGUUUUCAAAAUUUACCAACAAAAGUGAUGCAGAAUACAAGUUUUCAAUACUCAAAUCUAGAUCCCUGCAUCCACGAUUGAGUAUAGGCAGAAUAGGAACUUAUUCAACAAAGCACCACAAUGGUUGCAAAUACUCAACGAGCCUCGCAAGUACUAAAGUUCAUCUUCUUACCACAGCCUAACUGGAGCACCCCAUCAUCAGAUGCUGGGAGAAAACGAAAGAGGAAGUGCGCCCUUACCAAGUUCCCUGGCAGCAGCAGCUUCUAGCUUGCUGGAUAUUGGUUGUUCUUCAGCUUCCUCUCUAUCGUCCUCGGCAUCCAGGUCAAGGACAGCAAACAUGUUGGCAAGAUUAGUCAUACUCUCCCAAUUGUUCCCCGUAUUCAAGAUAAACCCGGGCAAAACCUUCGCCGUUCCAGCGGUGAUCAACUAAACUGAAAUUUCUUGACGAAAUCGGGAAGAAAUAGACGGAGAGAGGUGGAAUUCAAAAAAGAAAAUUAGGGGUUUUCUUUUUCAAGUGACGGCGGACAGUUAGCUUGGGCGGCAGCAGAGGCGGCGCGCGAUAAGGGGCCUGCGACGCGAGCAGGGCGGCGGCAGCGGUUCGCGAGCAGGGCAGGCGGUGGCGGCGGAGGCCGCUGCUUGGGCGGCGGCAGAGGCGGCGCGCGACGAAGGGCCUGCAACGCGAGCAGCGCGGCGGCAGAGGCCGCUCGCGAGGAAGUGACCUGCGAGGAGGCCACUCGCGAGGAGGCGGCAGGUUGUGAGCAGGGCGACGGGCUCGCAAGGGGAGCUGGGAGCACGGCGAGGGGCUUGCGAGGAGGGGGCCGGAGGCAGCUCUUGAGGAGGCGACGGACGGCGAGCAGGGCGGCGGAGGUGGCUCGCGAGGAGGUAGCGGCGGAGGCGGCCUGCGGAGCGGCAAAGCGCGGGACGGCGCAGACUGCAGGGAGUUCCGGCGGGCCUGCAAGGCGGCGCCGGCGUCGGAGGCGAGGUCGAGGGCGGCGCUCGGAGUUUGGUUCAGGUUAACCCAUCUUAACGAAACACAGAGAGUUUCUGUCCAUUUUAUCCGAACAUGAAAUCCGGUCGGCUCCCGUAAAAUCUGGUCGGGAACAACCCAUGGUGCUUCACUCGCCAACCAAACAUACCCUAAAGCAUGAAAGAUGGUUCGAAUUCCUGAUAGUCUCUAGUCCUCGCCAACCAAACACACCCUAAAGCAUGAAAGAUGGUUCGAAUUCCUGAUAGUCUCUAGUCCCUACCGUCUCAUGAGAUGGAUUACACAUACCGUGGCCGGUGCUUCGGAUCUAUGAGUCUCGGCGCUGCCGCCGCCGGCGAUGAAGACUUGAACGUCAACCUAAUUUCUAAUCUCUCAAGCAUAAGGAGGCGCCGGCGCAAAAUAUCAUUUCACCCCAUUGAUUCCUUGAGGCAUUUGAAGCCACAACGUCACACAACUUUAUUUAUAUAUAAAAAGAAUUUGUUUUUUCUUCAAAAAAAUUAUUUUAAGUGCCUAUAAAAUUAUUUGGAUUUAAUGGUUUUUAUUGGAGUUUAUUUGUUUUUCUACGGUUAUGGAAUUGCUCAAAGUCAUAUCAUUAAUAAAAACCACCCUUCAUAGGGUCGAAUUCAGCUCCGUGAAAAAAAAAACCCUUCGUAGGCUCCGAUUCAGCUCCGUGUCGAAACCUACCUUGUCAUGGUUCGCCUCCACCCUUUCAGAUUACUCGUGGGUCACAAUGGGGGUGCGUAGUAGGACGCUUCAUCGUCGUCAUCAGAGUUGAGGUUGUCGAAAGAGAUCCAAGGUGAUACCGUAAGAUCCCCACGGUCGGCACCGGUUGUUGCGGUAUAAAAUAUUGGAAACUCGCAACACUAUCGUAUUUUUGCAUGAUUUCCUUGGAUGUAGGAAUACACUCAAGAUACCGACAGAUCUAACACUCAGACUUACCCAGGUUCAUGCCUCCAACAAUUUAGUAAUAGACUAAUAGUCAUACAUAGUCCUUCCUUGAUUGUAUUAUACAGGAGUCGUGGAGUGCAACUGCGUUUAUGAUAGGGGGUGCCAGAAAGUUAGAAAACUCGAUGGACUAAGGAUUUGUGGCUUCAAUAGCCUUUUAUGGUUCUUAAAUUUCUAUUUCUCCUCUUAGAUCUUCUAUUGAUUGUGUGGGAUCUAGUCACCUUGGGGAUCUUGGUCACCCAUUUAAAUGUGUGGUAUGGCAAUUUCUUCACCUCUCCAAGUAUUAUUCCAUGACGCAUACGUGAUCAGUGCCCACUUUUUUAACUAUUUUCAAACAUUUUUGGUACUGAUCAAGUUUAAAUUUGAAUUUGAAUUUGAUCCAAUUAAGUCAUUUAAGACCAAAUUUUUCUUUUUACAGCACUGCUUGCUCUUUUUGCAGAAAAGAUGCGAAAAGGCACCUAAAUCUCCUUCUUACUACAUCAUGAAGAAAGGGGAGCAAAAAGGCGAAAGAGAAGAAAACAUAAAGCACAGGGAGGAAGAAACUUGAAGCUGAGAUCAUGCUAAAAGGUGGCAAAAAGGAGGGAUCUUCUUAAGCUAACAAAAGCAAGGGCUUUACUGCUUAUAUCAAAAGGAUGAUGGUAACAGCUUCUGAGAGAGAGGAGAGCAUAAAAGAAGUUGCAACCACCCUGCAUCGAAAACAACCAGAGGAGAGGGAGUAGGUGAGAUCCAAAAAGGAGGAGAAGAAAGAAGAAGGAGAAGGGAAGAUGGUCAGAUCUGAAGGUUCUUGGGGAGUUCAUCUACAACAAAUUCGAAGAGUUUAUAGGCUAGAUCAUCUUCAUCCUUGUCUCAACUUCUUCUCUACCGCAACAAAUCUCUGUAAAAGUUAAACUCUUCCUUCUCUAGUUCUUCUUCUGUUCUUGCUGUUUAUGCUGCAAUUGUGCAAUCUCUUGCUGAAAUCCUGUCUUGUGAACUUUGAUCUGUCGUUGCACACUCAAUAUAAUCGUGUGUUGCACUGCGUAGUCUGUUAUUAAAGUUUCUGUCAAAUUAGUACCCUUGUGUGAUGCUAUUUGCUUUUCAUGCUAAUUGUUCUGGUUGAUAGAAUUGAUCCUGCAUGUUGUGUUCUUCUCCCUGAUCUGCAAAUCUAUCCAUGUCUAAAACUUGCAGAAUUGAUCCUGCAUGAUGUGUUCUUCUCCCUGAUCUGCAAAUCUAUACCUGUCUAAAACUUGAUGUCAAUCUUCUCUAGAUCUUCUUCUAGCCCGAAUCUGCCAACUUUGCAAAAUUCUCCCGGAGACUGUCUUGCACCUUUGCCGGGACUGCAGCUUCACCUCCGACGUGCGCGGCUUCAUUCAAUCUUGGAGUAACACCUCUCCCAACGCCGACGCCUCCUCCCAGUCCAUCAACGCCCACCGGGACCUCCAGCUUGGAGGCCUUUCCAAGAAGGCGAUGCACAAGGCAAGCGAAGAUCUUAUCUACACUUGGUGGGGUGUUUGGAAGGAGAGAAACCGUAGAAUUUUCCAAGGGAAGGCUUUGUUGGCCCUUGUGGUACCUUUCUGGUUUGGGAGGACCUUCAGAGUAGAUUACGGGCGUGCUCUUCUGACGCAGGAGAUUAGGCCUUCGGGUUAGCUCUUUUUGUUUCUUUUGCUCCCCCCCCCCCCCUUCUCUCUCUCUCUCUCUCUCUCACCCCUCUUGGGUUCUCUUGUACAGAAUUUUCUACCUUCCUAAUUGAACGACGAGAUCGACCGUCUUUUUCCUCAAAAAAAAAAAGAUCUUCUUCUAGUUCAUCUUCCUUCCUAAAACCCUCGGAUUCUCUAUUCUUAGAUCUGCUCUGCUAUUUUUUUUCUUCAGUUAAAUUCAGUGUUAGUGUCAAUUUUCUUCACUUUCGUCAGAAAGUUCAGUUAAGUUGUUGUCUGGAUUUGCUACAGUUAACGAAAAACCCAACAAAGACUAGUUUACUUCUGUUAUUUCUCUAAUUUCCUGUCAAAACCUUGAACUUGUGUGAGUUUAGCUUGAGAUUUGGAUAGUAAUCAUUAGAUUAAUCCCUGUGGAGAACUUCGUUUAAAUUACUGCUAAACUACAAGUUGAUCAAUACGGGAUGGACUUGAAGUUACAUCCAAGUAGAACUUGUAGUACUCAUUUACAUGUAAUCCACAUGGUUUUCUUGGAAACCCAAAGCGUAUCCUUCAAGAUAUGUGGAACUCCGUAUAGGCCCCGCUAAAGGUCUAUGCACUUUUAGGACCACCAUGCCUUUUUAUACCACAUAUAAAGUGGAGUAUAGUUGAAUUGUGCUAUAAUCUGUCGGUAGUUACUACUUAUGGACCCGUCACUGUUCACCCAGUCGGUAAUGGGUCACCAAGGGUGGCACCUCUAGUGACAAAUGACGGGCCUUAUAUAUGUUCCGUCAGUGGAGAUAAUGUCAUUGCCUACUAGUCCUAUUUACGACUUGUCGGUGGUGAUUCUGCGUCGUAUUUUGCAACCAUGCCAUUGCUUACUCGGCUCCCGCGUCGAGCACCACUGCCACCACGGUGCCGCAUCAGAACCUGAAAUCUCCACUUCUUCGGCUGAUGCACACGCCCUCUCUUCCUCCUCUUGUUGCAACCAUGCCCAAUCCUCAAGGCAAGAAGAGAAAUAAGAACAGCAAGAAAAUAGAGUGGAAGAAACUGAUGGAACGGUGGAAGAAAUGAGAAGAGACGUGGGAGUUUACAUUAGUCUGAAUGUGUGCUAGCAAAAAUUUAUCUCAGCUAUUUUAUCUCAACCAAGAAGCACCAAUUCAUUUAAAUCUCAGGUGUACCAACUUCGUCGGUGAAGCUGGUGGUGCUGUCUCGGCCAAUGUCCAGUAGCAAGUUGAUGGCCAUGGGGAGGUCCUCAAACAUGGAGGUCGAGCCAUUGUUGGCAAUGCUUAUGACAAUGCGACGGCGACCUCUCUGGUGGCGUUGUCUGUUAAAACCCCCGAAGAAUGGCAAUGAUGAUAGGUCAGUCAUAUACCUAGGAAGGCUGAUGACGUAAAGUCAUUGAAGGUACUUCACGAUGUCUAUUCGAUGAGUUCUAAGGUGACAAACGACCUAUAGACUAGUAGAAGUAUUAUUUUCCUAGAUUGUUGUCUUUUUGAGUUGUAAUAACUGUGAUCUGGUGGCUAUUUGCGACUUUAGUAAUAUAAAGGCAGAGUUUGGAAUAACGCCCUCCUUUUCUAAAAAGAAAAUAUUUAAAUCUCAACUAUUUCAGUAUUGAUAUACUGUACUGUGUACUCCUACAUAAAUCUCAGCUAUUUUAUCUCAACAGAGAUGCAUCAAUUCAUUUAAACCUCAGCUAUUUUUUCUUCCACAAAUUGGCUGACUUUGCAAAAAAAAAAGACCUAAAUUUGGUAGAGUGACAUUGGUUUGCCAAAAGUUAGAAAUUAAAUCAAACAAACGCCAACUAUUUUUGUUAUGACAAAAAAAAGAGUAGGACAACAUCUAAACACACCCAUAGCAUGGCAACAUGCUACCUCAGACAGAUAGCUGAAAUCGCUCGUCCUCGCUCGGAAAGAUCGGCAGGAAUAAUAUUCUAGAAUGAUCGAAGCGCUCCUGCAACAAAAAAUAAAUAAAAAAUGAUCGAAGCGCUAGUGAUGGCGUUCGGAUCUACUCCCUCCGUACCGAAAAGAUUUGCGUCGCGCUCGUUUUGCAAAAACGUCCCUGACAUUUGUUGAAUUAACCCGCACCCCCCCUCGUUUCUUAAUCUGCCUCCCUUCCCCCUCCCGAGUCCCGUAUCGCUCUCUGCCUCCCCUCCCUUCUCGCCUCGCUCUCUCCCCGACUACCCCCCUCCCUCGUCGACGCUGCGCUCCACGUUCCCUCCCCUCCCAGUUCGCCUCUGCCGUGCUUCUUCUCGCCUCCGCCUCUCCUCGUCUCCCCCCUUUGAUGCCCACCAUCUUCCCCUCCCCUGUGUUGCGCUCCCCUUAGGCGGCAGCGACGGCAAAUCCUGUGGUGGAGAGGACGAAUCGGGCGGCGGCAAGCGACGGAGCCGUGCGACGGCAUCUUGUGGCGGGCGACGGAGGCGUGCAACAGCAUCUUGCGCAAGCGACGGCAUCUGGCGGCGGGCGACCACAUGGGCCUCCUGGGAAUUGAUUUGAAAUUGCCGAUCCUGCACAUGCUGCCGUCGUAGCCUCCACCUCCGAUGUGAUUAGUACAGUGGCCCGAGCAUCAACGUUGUUAGCGCCGCUGCAAGAUCUGCGUGUGCUGUAGCAUUUGGUGAGGGUGUAACCGUAAUAAUUUAACAUUGUAGGAUUUAAUUGUAAAAAUUUCCCGCGCCAACCUUUUCGGCACAGAGGGAGUAAAUAUGAAACAAAGGGGAUCGAUCAGGUGACAAUGUGGAUGCAGGCCUGGGCCGACGGGACUGCGGCCUGUUCGGCCGAACAGGGCCCCAAAAUUCGAGGGCCUCCAAAUUUCUACACAGCAUCAGGCCUGCAACCCAUUAGGCACUAGCCAGCCCGCUUAUCAGAAGGCCGAGCAGGGCUGAGGGUCGAGGCGUCGCGCGCACGCGUGACUCCCGUCGCUCCGUCUUUCCUCGCGUACAUGACUGAAGCGUCAGGAAAUUUAGGGCUUCUCGUGAGUCGUGACGCGGUUGGACGGCCCAGGUUUCCAAAUUCAUAAUAGACGACGGCCCAGGAUCAGCAAUACGUCCUCGCCCAAUCCCAUCAUCGGUCGCCAUUGUCUCUCCAGACUCCAGGAGCCUAGUAAAUCAGUCGCUCUUUUACUUUUCCUAUAUGUGUGCUACGAUGAGACAACAAAGAAUAAUGAUUUGGCCACAAUAGCACUUGGGAGUGAAGUGUCGGAGAAGAUUCAUUAUAAGGAUACCAUUGAAGAUUUCACUCUACAGAAUACUAAAAGAAUGAUGUUAUUUAAAUAAAAAUUAUGAAACCGGGAGUUUAAUAUGUAUGGUUUUAAUAUAUCCAAUUGCUAUGUAAGAUAUUAUGACCCAUUAUUAUAGUGCAUUAAUUCUAUUUUUUGUAGUGAAGAAGGGGCCUGGUUAUAAUUUGGCACAGGGCGGCCCGGCCCUGUGUGGAGGAAGAUGAGAACAAUUUCCAUGUGACCCACUGCAAUAUACGGCGAUUGUGGAAGUAAAAUCUUGGCUCAUCUGUGUGACGUGGGCAGAAAAUACCAUACGAACUUGUGUUCCGCGUGGAGACCGCUUUUAGUGCGCACAUCUUUUGCCACGCGAGUGGCAGCGACCACGACGAAUCACCUCGGGAACUUGCAGCAGACGGUAAAGUGAAGUCAAGCACUAGCGUUUUCUUUCUCUUUUUUGACAGCAAAAUCUUACGAAGCUAAACAGACAUAGCCAAUGGUGAUUUGCUGCCUUUCGGUAGUGCGCCCUUUCUUUCAUAACAGAAAAGUAUAUAUUUUCGUCCCAACUUAUAAAAAAUGCGCAAAUGGUCACUCAAUUUAUUUUCGUAUAUUUUUCGUCACUCAACUGUCAAAAUGGAACAUUAAUGGUUCCUUUCUCAUGAGUGGUAUUAAAUUAGACGUGUCAUAGUUUUGAUCUCGAAAUUGUCACUUUUUUUUCAAAAAGAAGGUUGAAACCCCGACCUCUACAUGGCUAAAAAAAUUAGUGCCAACUUGCCAGCUGACAUGACAGUUUCGAGGACACUUAUGCCCCUUUGGAUUGUGUGAUGGACCAUUGGUAUCUGGUUUAAUAGUUGAGGGACAAAAAAAUAUGAAAACGAUGAGAGACCAUUUGCGUACUUUUCAACAAGUUGAGGGACGAAAGACAUACUUUUCUUUUUUCUAAUAACAAAUAAAAAGAAAUAGUCGGACAAGAGGGUUUUAUGGAUAUAGUACUCCCUUCGUCCGACAAAAGAUGUCUCAAGUUUAUCAAAAUUUAAAUGUAUCUAGACAUGACUUAGUGUAUAGAUGCAUUCAAAUUUGAUCAAAGUUGAGACAUUCUUUGUUGGACGGAAAAAGUAUAAAAGAAGCCAUCUGAAGAUCGCUGAAGGUCGUACUUUUAAUCCACUUUCUGUCAAAAAUUUCUUCGAAAGGAACACGCACUAUAUCCUAUAUGCGUCAUAAUGUUUUCUUCCUGAUAUGCGCUAUAAUAUAUUAGUACUAAUUAUUAAGUAUCGUGCUUAUGUCAGCAGACAGCCCGUACACCAACUACUCAACAUGCGUACAAAACAGCAAAUAACGUUCUCACUUCACAGGCUAUGGUCUAUGGAGCAAUCGAGUACGGAUUAUCCAAAUUCUUUGAUUCAAGUAAAUUGACACAAAAUCUGACCGGCGGAAUCGACUGAUCAGACAGGCGUGUGCUAGAAAAAACGCUGCCAAGGGCGAACACGAUCGCGCCGAACCAUACUACCUGGGCCGAUUUGUUAGUCUAACAUUGUGCUACAAAAAACGCUGCCAACGAGGCUAGACCGAACACGAUCACGAGUAACUUUGAACUACACCCUCCUACUAGGUUUAGAGUGAGUUAGGAUAUACUUCUAUGUUUCAUAAUUCUUGACACAAUUUCGUCAACAAAUGCAUCAAUUGAGAAGUAGCCCAGCGGUAUCCAAACGUUUUAAGAGUGCAAUGUGUUGGGUUUAACCCAAUUUCUAUUGCCGAUGUACCACGUUCUGAAUUCCGUCAAUAACAAAAAAACGAUUCCGUCAUGAAUUAACAAUCUUUAACAAAGGCACAUUUAUUUCAGGGGAUGGUCGUGGUACUCGGUUUUGGGAAGAUACUUGGUUGGGGGAUAGUCCUCCUGCGCUUCAAUAUCCAUCAUUAUUUAACAUUGUGCAACGGAAAAAUGUUCUUGCUAAGUAAAGUAACAUCGGCCGAUGUAGGAUUUUUUAUCACACGGAGAGGAGAAAUGGUGCGAAGUAAAGUAACGGUCGUUUGUAGAAGAAACUGAUUUGGCUCUUAUACUAACACAUAAGUAACAACCAAAUGCAUCUUGGAGAGAUCUUUUUUUUCACUAAAAACCUAGUUUCCAAAGCGUUGCUGCUAGGCUACUAGACGCACGGCUCACUGCCAAUCUUGGGCCGGGCCCAUUAAUUAUGCGUAUGGUGGUAGAGAGUGGUGGAUGAACUAAGUGACGGUUGUCAAUUAGAAUAUUGAAAUUCUCAAUAGUCUGACGACUCUAGCCUCUGUGUUUUUACAUGACCUGAUCGUGUUGUAUACCCGUGAGUCUCAGGUGGCAUAACGAAUCCUGAAUCGCUUGAACCCUAGUUGCCAAAGAAUUCCUGCUUGGUUGCUCAUUGCAUGGCUCCGUGAUGAUCUUCGACCAGGCCCAUUAAUUCCAUGUGCGGUGGUAAGACUCACUGCCAAUCUUGGGCCAGGCCCAUUAGUUUCGGUGUUCGGUGGCAGAGAGUGAUGGAUGGACCGACAUUAACUGCAAAUUAGGCAGUAAAAGAAUACACUGCAAAAAUUAAGAGUAUAAUGGACAAGAAAAAUAAAUUAAGAUAUCAUGUUUAGCAGCAAUAGUGACAAGACAAAAUAGCAAAAAAAUAGUAGAAUUAAAUAAUGGACAACAGAAACUACAAACUGUUAGUACCAACAAAACAAAGACCAUAUCGAAACUACAAACUGUUAGUACCAACAGAAACUACAAACUGUUAGUACCAACAAAACAAAGACCAUAUUGUUAUGUUUGAAAACAAGGACAAAACCUACCAUUGACCAAUGCACUCGAUCAUAUUAAUUAUUGACAUGUCACAAGUAUAUUAGUCUCACAAAUCCCAAAAGAACGGAAAUGAAUAAAAGUUGUGACUCAUGUAAACCUCUCGAUCCCAUUGAUAGUUGUCAUCUGAUAUCAAGUUUAAUAAAAUAAUGUAAGAAGGUUAUGAGAGUUUAAAUUUAUAUAUUUUUAGCUAGUUGGAGGGGAGAGAACGAAGAGUAGAGAGAAGGGAAUCAGGUUUUAAGGUAAUAAACAGCUGCAACACGAUCCCUUAUGAAAUAUGUGAGUGUGGGAUGUGUGUGUUCGUAAAACAAUAUAUCUUUAUAGCUAACUAUUAUACGCAUUACUCAUUCCUUUUCUAAAUGUUUGAAGUUCUACUUUUGUAUUAAGUCAAACUUUUUAAACUUUGACCAAGUUUUUUGAAAAAAAUGCACAUCUACGAAUCUAAAUUAAUUCAAUGCUAUAUGUUUUCAUAAUAUUAUUAGUUUGGUAUUCUGGAUAUUGAUAUAUUUUUCUAUAAAUUUGGUCAAGCAUUAAAAAGUUUGACUUAAGACAAAAUUAAUACUUCAAACAUUCAGGAACGGACGAUCAUAUAUACCUUAGACCGUCUCCAAGAAGCUGCCAGUAGUAGCCGGGGAUUAUUCCUGCGCCGUACGUCACCCGUGCGCUGAAUUCUGCACCGUCACCCGCUGACGUAACACACCAGGCACGCGUGGUUCUUUAUAUAACUGAACUUACAUGUUAGUUUUUGAAGGAAAUUAGCGAAGGCCGUCCAAAGCGAUUAACCAUGUCACAAGCACCACUGCUUCUCCUCCUAGUUAUACCCUGCAGUGCGGCGCUCGUUGCCUCCGGCGCGUCGCUUCUGCCACCAGCUCCCGCGCCGAGGCCGGGGCCGAACUGUCCUACCAAGUGCGGGGACGUACACAUCCCCUACCCUUUCGGCGUCGGCACCGAGUGCUCUUUCCCCGGCUUCGCCGUCACCUGCGACGAGACGACGAGCCCUCCGAGCCUGUUCACGGGCAACUUAGAGAUCGCCAACAUCACGCUGGAGAAAGCGCAGAUGAUCGGCUAUGUCCCCUUGACCUACACCUGCCAAGUCCCGGUGAGCAAAGGCAGGAUCAACACGACCACGAAGAGCAUGGCCUUGAGAUUCGCUCCCCAAUUCCUCAUCUCUCCGACAGACAACGUGUUCACGUCCCUCGGGUGCAGCUCGAUCGCCGUCCUCCAAGGCAGGGUCCAGGGCCGGGACCGGUACCAGGGAUCGCCGUCCACCCGCCGCGCGUACCCCACUGGCUGCAUCUCGGCGUGCGCCAGUGUGGACGAGACCGGGGAAGACGGCGCGCCGUGCCGCGGAUACGGCUGCUGCGAGGCGCCGCUAACGCCCGGUCUCAACCAAGUUAGUUUGGACUGGAACAGAGGCUCCCUCGGGGGCACGGAUAACUGGUGUCAAUAUGCCUUCGUCAGCGCCAAAGGCUGGUACGUGCUCCUUCACCAGGUGCCAAUGCCAAGUUUUUUUGUUUUUCUUUUGAGGAACAAGCUUUUUUCUAUUUUCAGCUCGUCAUCUUUUCUACGUACGCUUCUUUACACGUAAUAUCAUUCUAAGGUCUAGUAUAAUUGUUUCGAGAUGAAAAUUUAUUCAAACUACUGUGUGUUCGAAAAAUGUAUUUUUAUUGUUGGGGGACAACCUUGAACGGUGGGCCUAUUUUUAAAUAUUUUAAGUGGUUAGGCGGCCUCCUUUGAUUCAAAUUCAUGGGAAUUUUGGAGGUAUGAAAUCAUUAGGAAUUUUUUCUACGUUGCUCGUUUGAUUUGUAGAGUUGAAUCCACUAGGAAAUUUUUCUAAGGAUUCAUUUGUACUACAUUUCAUAGAAAAAUUUCCAUCCACUUCAACCUCUUGCAAGAAAUCCUUCGGCGCAAUCAAAGAAACUUUAGUGCAAACAAAAUCCUAUAGAGAUCAAAUGAACAUGACACUGCAAUCCUCUAUUUUUUUUCUAUUUCUGUAGUUUUCGAAUCCUAUGAAUCAAAAGACCCUUAGUGUGUGUCGACAAAAUAGGAUGGAUUGAAAAUCUGACCCCUAAAGUGCAAUGAAUUGAGGAUGUUUAUAAAAAAUGUAAGGCAAAAAAAUUUGCUCGUCACAAGACAUGAUGGCAGUUGAUAAAAUAGGUUCUGUUGGACCUCUGCUGGACCUACCUAGGUGAAGCAGAAGAUUACUAUGGUUCGAUGUUGAUCUAUAUAUAUGUUUAUAUUUAUACUUUACACAAAACGUCCCUCAGAUAGUACCUUUUGUUGAAUUAUGGGCUCCAAAGCGCAAUUUUUUCCUUUUUUCUCAGAAAGGAGGAUAUCCCGGCCUUUGCAUCGACUGAUGCACACAGCCAUGCAAAUUUUUGCCAGUGUGCCCCCAUUGUAUUCUUUGAGGCAAAAUUAAAUAGUUUUUGACAUAAAAAUGGUGAGUUCCAUUUUUUUAAUCCCCUUUUGUAAUUGGUGACAGACUCGUGGUGUUUACUUUAUUAAAAUUGUGUCACGAUUCAUCCUGGCUUGUUUUUUUUGACGGAAUCAUCCUGACUUGUUAGACUAGGACAAUGUCUAAUUUAAAAUUAUCAAUCGAUUACAAUGGGUUGGUCCAUCGAUCCUACACAUAGUAAGAUGCCAACUCAAAACGAUAAACAUAUGCAGGUGUUCUCCCUACCGGGUACACCUAGCUAACCCGCUUUUUCUAUCUGCGGAGCAUGUAAAAAUCGAGCUUAUUUCAGGUAUUCACGAUGACAUGUGGGUCGCACAAUUACCUAAGAUCUGUUGUUAUCUUGGUAAUUGAUUGCAAAAUUAUGGGUUCUUAUGCCUGAUUGGCACAAAGUUGUGAUUAUGUUAUAAAUUUUUCAUGAUUUACGGUUUUCUGAAAACAAAGUUCCAAAAAUAUUCCCUUCCUCGAUCGGGUGAUUCAUGUCCACCGGACCAGCCUACCAUACCAUCCUCCAGGUGCUUUCCUUGAUUCCUUCGAGAAGCUCUGUCGCUACGGCCGACAGGAGACGCAUAGAGCAAGAUUCUAUAAUUACAUUAUUGAAAUAAUAGAGAUGUCUCAAUCUAAAAAGAUUGGUACGUUCUCACAAUCUCACUGUAAUUGCUUAUCAGUCUAAAAAGAAUGAGUAGUCCGAUGUAACGUCGAGGAGACGUGCAAUAUAUGCGUAAUUGUCAAGAUCUGCAUCAGCCAUCCACCAAAUAUUCAGGCCAACCCUGAAUACACCUGGGGGGCAAAUUUGUUCAAGCAAAACACAUAAUACAUACAACUAGAACUUGUUCACUUCCAUUAAGCGUGCAGGUAUUUUCCUCUCGGAUCAGAUAGGGAUGCAUCUUUAAUAUGUUCUCAAAGAGGGGGUUUUGAUAUAAAACUGCACUACCUGUAGGGUGGUGAAAUUCCACUUUAAUCUUCCUUGAUGUUACCCACUUAGCUGGAAAAUUUAGAGCACAGCUGCCGAACUGUUGCAGACUCUUCGUUAAUCCUGAUAGAAAAAAAAAGAAUCCAUCAUUUUAAAGACGGCUUGUAUGAACUAGAAUAACCAGUGGGAGUGUUUCAGACUAGAAAUACUUUGAGUUGACAUUAAGUUGGAUACCUUAAUCUCAGCUCCUGCUAUGCCUUUGAGAAAGCAGAAUGGAAUGCUUAUGUGCCAAGUUAAAGGUUUUUCUUUUUCUUUUUGCGCAUGCCAAAUUAAAGGUUUAGAAAUGACGUGGUUACAUCUUUCGCGUCAAUGUACCUCUACUUAGCCAAUUUAUUGCAAAAUGCAUAUUUGGUUCCCAAAGCGGGUAACUGCUCACAUUGCACGAGUAUUAACAUGCCAAUUGCUCCUAUUCUUAUGAGUGAAUGUCAUUUUUGAACCCAGGUUCCAGCUUUGACCCCAUUUACUAAGAUUUCCGUUAUUUGACGAUAUUUUAAUUUUUUUUUAGUAACUGGAAGUCACUCAAAGAAUGAAAAAUGGAAAUCCCCUUUAAGCUUUCACAGCUGAGACCGUGUAGUACAACACCUGCGCCUUGCAAAGAAUUCAGGAGUUAAUCUUCACGACCAAAAUAAAGAGAACGAAGGAAGAGAGAUCCAAUUCAAGCCAUGGAUGGAUGGAUUGGGAGCGUACCAUUUGAAAAUGACAACCCAGCUGUCGGCAGAGAGGUAGAGCCGCCGGAGCGCCGACCCGACGGCCAUGACCAUUGGCAGCAGCUUUAUGGAUCAUGAGAGACAAAGGAUGAGCUAGAAAGAUGACCAAGGAUGUAGUUGGAUUAGGAGAGGAAGAGGAAUCAGAGUCAGAUGCACCACCUACACUGCUGGCUUUUUUUUGGAGACGGUAGCACGGGAAUUAUUCAAGCGGUUUGGAUGGCGCGUAGGUCUUAAGCUGGAAGGAUAUUGAUGUUUUCCUUUUUUUUUUUUCAUUAUCCAACUCUGAGACAUGUACUUUGAAUACUUUUAAUAAUUUAUGGUUUUGUGCAUCGAUCGAUGUAGAGGUCGGGGGAUGUCCUCCUUUUCGAAAAAAACACACUGCUGGCUUUUGCUGGAUAGUAUCGGGAGUUGAAUUUUAGGCUAACUUUUGCGAUGCCAUGAGACGUCUCAGGACCAAGGCACGUCUCAGAUUAGGUAGCAUUGACAAUGGUCAGCUUUGGGUGGAACUAGAUGGUGUUGGAAAAUUAAGCAAUUUCGAGAAUAACAAUUCAAUGAAUAAUUUCAAAAUAUAGUUCAUGACGACAGUAGCAACUAACAGAUGCAUCUAAAAAAUAAUAGAAGUAUUAAAUAGCACAACGAACAGCAAUAUGAACUCGCAGAUCAUAACUAAACAACAGACCGAAUCACAAUGUACGUACUGUUGCGGUGGAGAGGAAGCCGUUGCUGUUGCGUUCGCUUGACAAAGUUGUUGACGAAGAAGAUGGCGGCGCGUCGCGCACCCGUCGGUUCGAGGAGGUAGACGACCCGUGGUUGCAGGGAAGCGAGCAGUCGUGCGGAGCGCUUCCCAAAAACCUUAUUCGCCCUCUCCCGUACAGGAUCGCAAAGGCGAAAGAUUCCGGAGACCUGCUCUCCCGAUCGCUGGUGCACGCAGGCGCUCGGGAUGGAGUAGACUACGACGACGGCGCAAAAGCAAGAGACAGGCGAAACCCUAGCUCGGUUGUGUUGCAUACCGAUCGGAGGGACGGGGGGGCUGUAUAUAUAGUCACGCAGGUAUAGGUCGGUUCGGUUUAGGAAACCUGAACUGACUCCACAAAAUCUGCACGCGUCCGUAACGGAUUCCAAAAAUACCUCACGCGCAUGACAAAAAGAUAAGAUUCCGGCCCCGCACCGCACCGCACCGGCCCGACCCCGCACGGCACGGCUUGAACUCGAUCCACGAAAUGCGGCGCGCGCUCGCCGUGACGAGGCGAGCGGAGGGGGAGGAGCGCGCGUUGGGAUUUCCCUUACUCACUUGCUUGAUAGGUGAGAAACAACAUCUCUUAUAUGUUGGUCUCAUUCACUCUAAACUAGUAAGGUGAGACUAUUCCCAUUCCCACUUCCCUCAUCCCACUUCAUGAAUGGGCCUUUGAGAUUUUUCAGAAUUUAUUAAAACUUGGGCUUGGGCUGAUCAGGCCCACCAAAUUCUAACAAUCCCGCACCAGAUCUCAAAUACCCAUUUAGAGAUUUACCUGUUCUCGCUACUUGUUUAUAUACUAGUGUUUCGGCAGAGACUGUUAAGUUGAACUUCUGCUUAGAACUUUAAGCUACAUCCAUCCACACUCACAAUGGACUAAGCAUUGAAUUGCAAGCCGGCGUGAAAUAGAUUUCACUCAAAGUCAACCAGUACUGGGCUAUCAGUAGUCUACCUCGCGGGUGGAGCAUAUGCGUCGUACUCCAUGGUCUAUUCAUGAGUUACUAGAGAUCACCCAAAUCUCAUAAACUACGACGUUAGACAGUCGGACUCAGAUAUGUGUGUUCUUUCAAGAAUACUCUGUAGGACAGCAUCUUUCGCUACUCAUAGCCGCAAUGAACACAUUAAGGCAUGUCGCCAAACUACCUUACAUCAAUUUGAGAGUCGCACAUCUUCACAUAGAGAGGGUUAUAGCAUACUCUCCUCUGUUAUACCAAUAGCUUGGUUCUUCCCAGAUCCUACUUCACGAGAUCUCCGAUCACAUAGGUUGGGUUACCACUAUGGCACACUGUUCAUGGGUCUCAACCCCAACUCACUCGAUGCACUCUCUGUCAGGUUUUUUUUCUGUUUGAAUAUAUGUAACAGUUAUCACUCCGGAGUUUUUCAAUUUCCUAACAGACUGCACACGUCUCCUCACGUGUUUUGAUGACUUCGUGUUAUCCUUUGAACUGCUCACUUUAGUAAUAACCGUUUGAUUAUCACAGUUCAUCCGAAUAGCUGGCACUGGUUUUUCAACCACCGGCAAGUCCAUCAAAAGAUCUCUCAGCCACUCUGUCUCAAAGGUGGCUGUAUCUAAAGCAGCAAGCUCUGGUUCCAUAGUUGACCUCGUCAGUAUGGUCUGUUUGCAAAAUCUCCAUGAUACUACACCACCACCAAGUAUGAAGUCAUACCCGAUUGUGGCGUAGAGAUCAUCUGCUUCAAAGAUCCAAUUCGAAUCACAAUAUCCCUCAAGCGUGGAUGCCCUGAAUAAUGUAUUACAUAACUCAUCGUACUUUUUAGAUAGCGCAAUAUCCUUUAUAGUGCACGCCAAUGAUGUAUACCCGGGUUUGACGUGAACCUACUCAAUUUGCUCGCAGCAAAAGAAAUAUCAGGCCUCGUAGCGCUAGCUAAGUACAUAAGGGAACCGAUUAUUUGAGAGUAUCUCAAUUGAUCUUUCCCUUCUCCAUUGUUUUUUCUGAGUAUCACGUUGGGGUCAUACGGUGUUGGUGAAGGUUUGCUGUCAGUAAAACCGAAGCGACUCAAGACCUUCUCAACACAGUGAGAUUGCAACAAAGUAAUUCCACUCCCAUCUUUAACCAGUUUAAUGUUAAGAAUAACAUCAGCCUCUCCCCGAUCUUUCAUAUCAAAGCAAUUUGAUAGAAACGACUUGACCUCAUUUAUCACUUUUAUGUUUGUACCAAAAAUCAGAAUAUCAUCCACGUACAAACACAAAAUAACACUUUCGCCCCCACCAUGGCGAUAGUACACACAUCUAUCAGCCUCAUUAAUGACAAAACCUGCAGAAGUUAAAGUUCUGUCAAACUUCUCGUACCAUUGCUUAGGUGCUUGUUUUAGUCCAUACAAAAAUUUUAGUAACUUGCACACCUUUCUCUUUUCACCCUUUACCACAAAUCCAUCUGGUUGAUCCAUGUAAAUUUCCUUUUACAACUCUUCAUUAAGGAAAGCUGUUUUUACGUCCAUUUGAUGAACGACAAAACCAUAGGAGGCAGCCAGGGAUAGUAGUAAUCGAAUGGUAGUAAGUCUAGCAAUGAGUGAAUAGGUGUCGAUGUAAUCUUCGCCUUCUUUCUAAGUGUAGCUUUUCGUCACAAGCCGUGGCUUAUACUUUUUAAUAGUACCAUCAGGCCUUAGUUUCUUCUUGAACACCCACUUGCAGCUAUACCUGGGCAUUCCACGGGCUGGGCCGGAUUUCCGGCCGGGCUUACUAAAGCCUGAGCCCGGCCCGACAGAAAGCCUGAAAGCCCGAAGCCCGAGAAACAUCAACAGCACUGUCUUAGAAAAAAAUGAGCCUUCAAGCACUCCGUAGAUCAAGCCCAAAACUCAACAGCACACAUUCUAAAAACCGACUGUAGCAUCAACCAUUAACAACAGCGUAUAAAAAACAACAGCAACAAUCAGAUCUGAGUGGCAGACAACAGACAAGGGAGACGGGCUGAUGCUGCUGUCUUCGGUGGCUUCAGAUCUGCGGGAGACAGCCAGACGGGGUGGGCUUCAGCCUUCAGAUCUGCAGAGGAGAAAGGAGACGGAGGCCGGCCAUGGCUGCUGCGUCGCGGGACGGAGUAGAGAAAGGCCGGCUGUUGCUGCGCCAAGCCAUGGUGUGCUGGGUGCGCGUGUGCAACGGCCUACUGAAGGAGAGGAAUCGCCGCCGCUAUCAGAGGAGGAGAGGAACGAGGUUGCGCCUGGGGGAUCGGGGACUCUUGGUAGCUGGGAAGUUGGGGAUGGCUGGGUAGGUGGGGUUGGUUUGCUUGGCUGGGCCGGGCCAUUUUCUUCUGGAAUCGAUAUUAGCUGCAGAGAUUUAGUAUAAUUGGGCCGGGCCGGGUUUUUUUAGGCCAAAUAU
rnacentral:lncRNA from 1 species